rnacentral:rRNA from 1 species
GACGAACGCUGGCGGCGUGCUUAACACAUGCAAGUCGAACGGUGAAGCCCUUCGGGGUGGAUCAGUGGCGAACGGGUGAGUAACACGUGAGCAACCUGCCCCUGGCUCUGGGACAACCACUGGAAACGGUGGCUAAUACCGGAUACGACCCGCCUCGGCAUCGAGUGUGGGUGGAAAGUUUUUCGGCUGGGGAUGGGCUCGCGGCCUAUCAGCUUGUUGGUGAGGUGAAGGCUCACCAAGGCGACGACGGGUAGCCGGCCUGAGAGGGCGACCGGCCACACUGGGACUGAGACACGGCCCAGACUCCUACGGGAGGCAGCAGUGGGGAAUACUGCACAAUGGGCGAAAGCCUGAUGCAGCGACGCCGCGUGAGGGAUGACGGCCUUCGGGUUGUAAACCUCUUUCAGCUCCGAAGAAGCGAAAGUGACGGUAGGAGCAGAAGAAGCACCGGCUAACUACGUG